UUAACACAUGCAAGUCGAGCGGAAAGGCCCCUUCGGGGGUACUCGAGCGGCGAACGGGUGAGUAACACGUGGGUAAUCAACCCUUGACAUCGGGAUACCCCGGGGAAACCCGGAUCAAUACCGGAUAAGGUGCGGAGGCGCAGGCCGCCGUACCAAAGAUAGCUUCGGCUUUCGGUCAAGGACGAGCCCGCGGCCCAUUAGCUUGUUGGUGGGGUAAUGGCCUACCAGGGCGACGAUGGGUAGCUGGUCUGAGAGGACGAUCAGCCACACUGGGACUGAGACACGGCCCAGACUCC
rnacentral:rRNA from 1 species